ACGUCCUGGUUUCCGGUUUGGGUGUGGCCGCCAGGAAGAAGAUAGGCCUUGCCGCAGGUGGGUGUAGUGAAAGGCUCCGCUGCGACUGAGGAUUCUGCAGUUCCAAAUGAGCUGAAACACUGAAGUUAUGAGAUUAACAUGAUGAGAAGAGGGAUGAUGAAGAGGCAGCUGAAGGUGAAAAAGUUAUAAAAGGCCUGAUGCCACCAUUGUGGAAAACUGCAGUGUGUGACACAUUGAGAGAAACCAUCUGUCUGCCCAGAGCUGUCUGCUAAGUGGAUCAUCCGGAAGAUGUAUAACUGUAUGAGAAAAGAAAACAAUUAAAAGAUGGUGUUACUUUCUUUCAAACAGUAUUUGCAUGUUUUCUUGAAAGCUUUUUCCUUCUGUAUUCUCCAGGUCUUCUAACACGUUGUUGCCCAAAGCAAUGACUAAGCUCCUUGAUGUAAUCCUUUUGUCACUUCAAUGAGAAGCUGUAAAGUGGAUCUUUACUUAAAAUAUGUUUGGGUAAUGUGAAUGGAUCUAUAGGAUUUUGGAUUUUUUGGAAACUAUUUCAACCUAGCAGAAUGAUCAGCAACCAGGGAUUUAAACAUUGUUGUAUUUCAAUUUCAGUUGCAAUUAUGCUGAGUAAACCUUUUGGAAGUGAUUUUGUCCAUCAUAACUGUAGCAGCUAAAGCUGUAUCUAGCAGUUAGAAUGUGCUCCCCAAAUACAUACUUAAAUUUUAUUUUUUGAAACAGAAAACCCCAUUCAAAUGGUCAAAGACAUGAAUAGACCAUUUACAAAAGAUGUAACAGUGGCCCUUAAACAUGUGAAAAGAUGUUCAACCUCACUUGUGUGAAGAAAAAUGCCUAUUAAGGCUAUAGUGACAUAGCAUUUUUCACUAUAAGGAUUGGCAAAAAUUAAAAAUAACAUACUUUCAUGGGCAAGUUGUAAGAAAAUAUAGACUCUCCCACAUUGCUAGUAGGAAUGCAAAUUGGCACAACCACUAGGGAGAAGAAUUUAGCAAUAGCUAGCAUAACUAUAUCUGAAUUUACCUUUGACCCAGCAAUCUGAAUCCAGGAUUUUACCCUGAAGAUACACUCCCACCUCUGUUAUAUGAAAAUACAUAGGCAGAAAGUUAUUCAUUGAUGCAUUGUUUGUAAUUGAAAAAACAUUAAAAAUAACAAAUACCAAUUCAUGGAACAGUAGGUGAAUAAACUGUGGUGGACCACA